GUGAAGAAUUUAGUUUAAUUUACUGCUUGGCUAAAAGAUCUUAGAUCUUGUGCAAUUUUUAAUUUGAUAAAUUUGUUCAAUCUCUUCAAUCACCAUGAAUUGACCAAGCCUUUCAAUAUGUACUUGGAGGGAAUAGACUCAAACUAUUGUCUCGUGAGAUUAGUCAGUUAGUGUGUGCAAGUUGGUUUGGACAAUCGGGAUAUCAAAAAAAAAAAAAAAAAAAA